rnacentral:rRNA from 1 species
UUUUUUCUGGCNGCGGGCCUCAUACAUGCAAGUCGAGCGCGAAAGUCCGCAAGGNAUGAGUAAAGCGGCGCACGGGUGAGUAACACGUGGAUAAUCUACCCUUUGGAUUGGAAUAACCUGUCGAAAGACGGGCUAAUGCCGAGUAAGCUCUCGGGAGCGUGAAGCUCUUGCGAGGAAAGAUGGCGCAAGCUAUCGCCGAUGGAUGAGUCUGCGUCCCAUUAGUUAGUUGGUGAGGUAACAGCUUACCAAGACGAUGAUGGGUACCUGGUCUGAGAGGAUGAUCAGGCACACUGGAACUGAAACACGGUCCAGACUCCUACGGGAGGCAGCAGUAGGGAAUAUUGCGCAAUGGACGAAAGUCUGACGCAGCCACGCCGCGUGAGUGAGGAAGGCCUUCGGGUUGUAAAGCUCUGUCAUCCGGGAAAAACGGCUAUCUGGGGAAAGUUCAGGUAGCGUGAUGGUACCGGAGGAGGAAGCACCGGCAAACUCUGUGCCAGCAGCCGCGGUAAA